GGACCUGGAAGAAUGGCAAACCAAGCAGGGAAAAUCCAUAAUGCAUUAUUUGCUGUUGCUCUACCGGGGUCACUGCCAUUGUACGAAUUAACAGCACCUGCUGAGGACCGGGUAAUUUAACCAAAGGACUGGAACCCCCGAAAAAGGGCUUCAUACACUGAAUUGAAUUGCUGGAAGAGCAAAUGCUGAUUUCUGCUGGUACCAAGCCAGGGAAGCAUAUCCUGCUAAAAAUUCUGCAGAGGACUGCCAGAAAAUCAGUUCCACGUGACAUUUCCUCAGAGGAAGGCAAGGAAGAACCUGAAGGAAUAAAAAUCUUACUCAUCCUCGGAUCCAUGCAUUUUUCUACUCUUCAGAUGAAAGUACCAGGAAGCACAGCUAGAGUGAGCGCUCGUUGUGCUGUGUCAUUCAAGGAGCUGAGGAUCAAAUUCCCACAGGUGCUCAUGCAGUUUUUGACCUCCUGAAUGACUGCCAUCCAUGUGAGACUACAAGGACUGACUUGGAGUUCUGCCUGAGGUCCUCAGUAGUUCUGAACUGAGGGUCUGCCUAACAGUUGACCAGUGUCCCCAGAAGAAUUUUUUCCCUUGGAGUUCCGACACUGACAAGAGCCAGAUAAGGGUUGGUAUUGGCGUUACCAAGGUAUUCCCCCUCGUUAUAGAAAGGCAACAGUGGAUAAGGUUAAACAACAGGCUUGUUAAAUGGAGCAGGCCUAUUUAAUAGGCUGGCCAGAGGAAUGAUGACUCAGUGGUAGUACGAUUUAUGGGAGCAGUGCUUUGGUGGCAACAGAAGAACUACAAAUGCUAACAUUAUCCUGAUCUACAUAUUACCCUUUAUACAUUUAGG
rnacentral:lncRNA from 1 species